rnacentral:tRNA from 1 species
AGGUAGCGCAGUUGGUAGCACGCAGACCUGUGGUACUUGAGACCCAGGUUCGAGCCUG